rnacentral:misc_RNA from 1 species
CAUCAAUUCCUUGGUCGCAGGGUUUGUCACGAUGUACCCGAACUUGUCCUCCCGGGUGCACCCAAAGAGCAGGAGCCCGUUGCAAGAAUCCAAGAGGACCAUGCGCUCCACGCCAGGCAGCACUGCCGUGAUGAAGGAGAAGGAAGGGUCGACCGGAGGCACGCGUUCUCCGCUCCCCGACAGGCUGGUGAAUUGGCCGUAGCUGUGAGGCCCUCCGACGACGCCUUGGAAGAAGCCUUCCAGGGUCUGGGGCAGCUUCUUGCCGUUGUGGGGGUCGGUGAUGAUGUUGCACCAAGAUUUGCACACGCACGUGCAACGGCGGAGGUCUUUGACGGGCACGCGCGAGAAGAUCUCCACCAUCAGCUCGUUGUGGAGGUCCGCCACCGCCCUCCUCUUUGCGCAGUCCAUGCCGCGGGAGCGGGGAAGGGACGCGCUGCAAGCUGUGAGUUGGGAAGGUGAUGUUCGGGAUGGAUGAGCACGAAAGACGGGGAGUGCGAAAUGCGGCGAACGCGGAACUAACCGGCUGCCGGAGAGGGUCGGCGUCCACGUCAAUGCUGCGGCGCUAGCCGACGGCGCCCUUGCUCAAAUGGGGGAUUCUGGAGGAAAGAAGCCUUGAGCACAUUCAAUGGCAUAAAUGUGCUGGGGUCCCUUUUUUUGCGUUUUAUAAAUGUUCUAA